rnacentral:rRNA from 1 species
UACGGAGGGGGGCCAGCGUUGCUCGGAAUUAUUGGGCGUAAAGGGCGCGUAGGCGGCUUGGUAAGUUUGAUGUGAAAUCCCAUGGCUCAACCAUGGAACUGCAUCUCAUACUGCCGAGCUAGAGUCUGGGAGAGGGAAGCGGAAUUCCCGGUGUAGCGGUGAAAUGCGUAGAUAUCGUAAGGAAGACCAGUGGCGAAGGCGGGUCUCUGGACAGUUCCUGACGCUGAGGCACGAAGGCCAGGGGAGCAAACGGG